GCAGAGAUGGCGGAGCGGUUGAACGCGCACGAUUCGAAAUCGUGUUAUGCAGGAAUGUAUACGUGGGUUCAAAUCCCACUCUCUGCGCCA
rnacentral:tRNA from 1 species